rnacentral:rRNA from 1 species
GAUGAACGCUGGCGGCGUGCUUAACACAUGCAAGUCGAACGAAGCACUUUUGUCUGACCCCUUCGGGGCGACGACAUUUGUGACUGAGUGGCGGACGGGUGAGUAACGCGUGAGUAACCUGCCUUAUACCGGGGGAUAACAGUUAGAAAUGACUGCUAAUACCGCAUAAGCGCACAGCAUCGCAUGGUGCAGUGUGAAAAACUCCGGUGGUAUAAGAUGGACUCGCGUCUGAUUAGCUAGUUGGCGGGGUAACGGCCCACCAAGGCGACGAUCAGUAGCCGGCCUGAGAGGGUGGACGGCCACAUUGGGACUGAGACACGGCCCAGACUCCUACGGGAGGCAGCAGUGGGGAAUAUUGCACAAUGGGGGAAACCCUGAUGCAGCGACGCCGCGUGAAGGAAGAAGUAUUUCGGUAUGUAAACUUCUAUCAGCAGGGAUGAUAAUGACAGUACCUGACUAAGAAGCCCCGGCUAAUUACGUGCCAGCCGCCGCAGUAAUAC